AUUAUACUCCUUGUGUCCUAAAAUUCUUGACUUAGAUUUUAUAAGUACAGAUGUAUCUAGUUACGUUUUAGUGUUAGAUACAAUUAUAUCUAGACAAAUUUAAGACAAGAAUUUUAAGACAAAGGUAAUAAUAU
rnacentral:pre_miRNA from 1 species